rnacentral:lncRNA from 1 species
CCUGACUGAUGGCACCAGCAGCAUGUCACAGCCUAGCUGAAGAGACUGUCUCUCAGGAGAGGAUGCUGUACAGAACUUGCACUACAGAUGCAUAACAAUUUCAGAUGGUGAUGUCCCUGAUGGGUCAAACGGCCGUGAAGGAAAGGGGCACAGCGUGCAUGGUGGGUCACUGAGAUAUGACUAAUAUUAGUGUAGAAAGAUGGAAGAACCUGGAAGAGAGGACACACAAGAAUACCAGCCUUUUGGAAAAAGCCCUUCAUUGUCUCCAUCAUUAAUGUCUUGUGACAUGAGAGCAACUGAUGUGAGCAUGCUCUCAUGACUUUGGAGUACCACCAAGCACCCAGAGACAGAAGCUGGCAUAUCUCAGCUGCUGUGGAGUUUUCCAGCUGUCCCUCGGCCCGGCAGAGCUUCACCUACUGCAGAGUACUCAACCAGAGUACUCCUCUCCUCCCCUUAGCUGCAAGGUUAAAAGCCAGUUUCUGUGCCAGGUAUAGAUUUCAGCUAUUAGUAUAGGAAUGAAGCAACCAUUUGACUGUUUUACAUCAGAUGUACAGCAAGCAGAAAACUUAAGAAUCACUUUUGUGACUUAAGAGACUA